rnacentral:rRNA from 1 species
CACGUAGGGUGCAAGCGUUGUCCGGAAUCAUUGGGCGUAAAGAGCUCGUAGGCGGCUUAGUAAGUCGGGUGUGAAAACCCCAGGCUCAACCUGGGGACGCCACCCGAUACUGCUAUAGCUAGAGUCCAGUAGGGGAGUGUGGAAUUCCCAGUGUAGUGGUGAAAUGCGUAGAGAUCGGGAGGAACACCCGUGGCGAAGGCGGCUCACUGGGCUGACCUUGACGCUGAGGCGCGAAGGCGUGGGGAGCGAACGGG